rnacentral:lncRNA from 1 species
ACCCUCUAAGGUGAAAACUGCAAACUGAGAUUUGAUAUUACCUUUACCUAACAGAGAGUCCCCCUCUGUUCAUUUUGUGCUGUGGUGACUCCAGUGGUAGAUGUCUGUAGCUUUCUGAAGUCCCUCCCUCCCUUUCUUAGAGCAUUCUAGAAUGGAGAUUUUUGUUUUUUCCACUUACGUUCAGAAGGCACUAGUAAGCAGGACUCAGAGAAAGACUGUUUUUUGGAUAAUUACAUGCAUUCAGUUCCUUUUAUAGGAUGAUGACCACUCCAUAUAUUGGGUUUACUUUGUACUUUAGAUCUAAUGAAGCUCUAAUAGCAGCUCUUCGGGCGGUGUGGCGGGGGGAGCUUUUUUUUCCUCCUUGGAUGAUCAUGUCUUGAUUAAAAUGUUAUAAAUAUAGUGUGAGGCCCG